GGAUCCCUCCUGGGUCUGCAAUUAGUGAUAAUGUGCUAAUUAGUGUGUCAUUACUUCUUCCAAGGUGUCCCAUUUUAACAGGCUACUCUGGUAGAUUUUGCGCUAUAUCCCAAAGGAAUAGUUUUUUUUUGUUUUUUUUUUUUUUACAGUUCUGAUGUCACUCUUGAGUGCUAAUAAUGAGAUAUUUUGAGGUUAGACACUCUUUGGGAGCCCCUCCUAUCAUACUCUGAGCUGUCUAGUCUGCCAACACAUAGUAUACCCUGGUCAAGCCGUUAAAAACACCGGGACACCUGAGAACGUUAAUUUACCCCCAUUUUACCCAGUGCCAAGGGGGGGCGUGGAGCUCGGCACGCGUAAACCAAACAAGGAAAUUGAUUAAGUGGAAGCAACUUUACUGACCUAGAGAUAAAAUUCUGCCCUCAAACCCUCACUGGAGUUAUAUACAUUUCAUGUUGGAAACCGAAGAACACUAUAAAAUCCCCUUUGAAUAGACAUUUCACAAAGGGAGCGUAUCAAUAAUGUGCUCAUUGGGAACAGAUUGUAUUUAUUCUGAUAAAAGUCAGCUUUGUGCAAUGAUGGUGUCUGCCCUAAAUUUGGGACGUUAAAACCUCCCAAAUCCACGGUGAUCGUACAGGGCUUUUGUGCUUAUCAUCUUUGUUCUUUCCAUGAAAUAUAGAUGCAAUUACCAUCGCCUCUUACGUGGAGAAUAAGAAAACACACUCGGCUCCCUUUGGUUCUCAUCCAGAAAGGCGGGCUUUCUACUCUCUCCCCAGCCUGGCAGGGUGUCCGUGCUGAAGAAAACGAAAGCCUAUACAAUAGGUGAUCGCAACAUACCAUACCAACCUUGCACAGAGGGGCCCCUGGCCCAGUCUUGGAGGAUCCAGGGAGACUUCUGGAGGAGGUUGCUUCAAAGGAAAUGAGAUAUACGAGUGCGGAUCCAGUUCUAAUGUAUGAACACGGUGAAGGAACAUCGUGGAGGGGGGUGUGGGAUAUAGGACAGUAUUUUAACAAAUUAUCGGG
rnacentral:lncRNA from 1 species